AUGUUCGUGGGUCAAAGAGUUGGCCGCCAACCGAUCAUCAUCGACAUGGAGGCUGCCCUGCGUGCGGUAGCGGGGAAGCUCGCGGUGGCUCGUGUGUUGUCGUCGUACCCGGUUGAUCCCAAGGCGGUCGUCGGCGACCUUCGCGGCCCUUGGAAGCUGCGAGGUAGUGUGGUCGCUCAGAGGGUCGACUGCAAGGACGUUCAUUUCGUCAUCACCUUCUCGGAGGAAGGGGGCCUGAAGCAUGUUCUUCGAGCUGGCCCGUGGCACUUCAGGAACAACGUCGUGCUGAUCGUGGCGCUCGAAGGGAUGGUCGACCCCGUGGAUGUGUGCCUGGACUCGUUCCUGAUUUGGGUACAAAUCCACGGCCUUCCGGUGCUGCUCAAAACUGAAGUUGUGGGUUGGGUUCUUGGUGACCAGCUAGGUGAGGUGAAGGCAGUGGCGCACCAAGACAAUCAGAUUGUAGGCGAGCAUCUUCGUGUUCGUGUCCUCCAUAAGGUGGCUGAGCCGCUAAGGAGGAACGUCGCCUUCAUUCCCUUUGGUAGUUCUGAGGAAAUAAGUUUCAAUGUAAAUAUGAGAAGUUGCCUAAUUUUUGCUUAUGAUGUGGUAUGGUGGGACACAUGA
rnacentral:rRNA from 1 species